rnacentral:rRNA from 1 species
UACGUAGGGCGCAAGCGUUGUCCGGAAUUAUUGGGCGUAAAGAGCUCGUAGGCGGUUUGUCGCGUCUGCCGUGAAAACCCGAGGCUUAACCUCGUGGCUUGCGGUGGAUACGGGCAGACUAGAGGUAGGUAGGGGAGAAUGGAAUUCCCGGUGUAGCGGUGAAAUGCGCAGAUAUCGGGAGGAACACCGGUGGCGAAGGCGGUUCUCUGGGCCUUACCUGACGCUGAGGAGCGAAAGCUAGGGGAGCAAACGGG